AGCAGCCCGGUAAUACGGAGGAUGCGAGCGUUAUCCGGAAUCAUUGGGUUUAAAGGGUCCGUAGGCGGUUAUGUAAGUCAGUGGUGAAAUCUUUCAGCUCAACUGAAAAAUGGCCAUUGAAACUGCAUAACUUGAGUUACUGUGAAGUAAGUAGAAUGUGUAGUGUAGCGGUGAAAUGCAUAGAGAUUACACAGAAUACCGAUUGCGAAGGCAGCUUACUAAUAGUACACUGACGCUGAGGGACGAAAGCGUGGGGAGCGAACAGGAUUAGAUACCCUGGUAGUCCACGCUGUAAACGAUGGAUACUAGCUGUUGGAUCCGCAUUGGCGGAUUCAGUGGCUAAGCGAAAGUGAUAAGUAUCCCACCUGGGGAGUACGGCCGCAAGGCUGAAACUCAAAUGAAUUGACGG
rnacentral:rRNA from 1 species